AAGAGCAGUCAGAGCUCUUAACCCCUAAGGCAUCUCUCCAACCUGAGGUUCAGAUUCUUAUGGGUUGAUGGUUUACAGCUCUAGUCAUUUUUUUUCCUGAGGUUCCUCAGCAAACUUUGGCUAUAAUGUAUGUAAUAAUUUUGUCCUUUUGAUGAUGCCCUUUGAAUCAGGACUGCAGCCUGUAAACUCAUAGGUAUUUUUCCAAGGACCAUCAAUCUAUACUGGAUAACUUAUGUAAAUGAUGGUCCAUUUCUGCUGCAUAACAAGUGGGAGAAUUUGCUCCAGGACAGCUGUUGCCACUUCUCUGGCAUUCUCAGUACUGAUGAGGGCAGCUUCUAUCCAGCUAGGAUGUGGUUCACAAACAGACACCUGACCCUGGUGCAAGAGGACUUGUAAACAGAGUCUAUUUGACAGUCCUUACCUGGGCAGGUGUCUCUUCUCUGUGUUGGUUCAAGGAAUGGGACAGGUCACUAGUUGACAGAACACUUCUUACUGUGAUGGUCAGCCCUUAUCGUAGGAACGGUCAAAUUGCCAUUUCAGAGGUAGGCCUCUCUUUCUCAGUGGGAUGUCAUGUAUUAUUUAUUUUCUAUUCUACAAUCUGAGGGCAUAACACUCGACUCACUACAGAGAUCAGUCUUCUUUGCUUCUUUUCCCAGAACCCUUGUGAGUUCUAUAGUUUGACUGUAAAUAAUUUUCUUUCUAUUAAAAUUCUUGAGUCUGUAAGACUACCAUACUUCCUAUAAUUACUAACCAGUUUUCUUGGCCAAUCUCACAUAUGUCUUCUGGUGACUCUUGCAGUAUCUGAAUGUUACUCAAGAGGAGAGUUGGAUAGCUCCCAAUAGAUUUUUGAUGAUUUGCUUAUAGUUUAUGAGUGCACUCUCGGCACUUAACCACCCUCCUCUUUCCUGGUGGUAGCUUGAAAACCAUGAAAGCAUGCUUUGAAGAAGUCCAGAUGCUAACCCUUUUUUUCUUCCCCCAAAUAAGUCCCCUUGCUUGGUAUAUUAGUUUAGCCUUCUUGGCCAAUGAAGAAGGGGAUAUUGACUAUUGACUCCACAUCAAAUGCUGCUCUUUGGCUGACCACUGUGCUACCACGUCUUGUUCUUCAUUUAAAGGUAACAACUCCCAUCGGCAAACCAGGUCUCUUCUGGAUUGUCCCGGGUUGGCCGCUUAAAUCCCACUAUCAGGCACAAGUGAAGCAGAUGGUCUCAGUACACAACUGCCUCUGAGAUAACACCAUCCAUCCUGGUGAGAUCAUUAAGACAUGGGACGUUCUAAAGGAAGGUAAAACAUGUCCUACAGUAAGGACUUCUAGGCAACACUCUGAGAUGAGAUGAGCUGCCUUAAAGCAGCACUCUCCAACCUGCUGAGCUGCUUGCUUGUGCCGAGUUGCAGGAUUCCAGCUUUCCUGAGCCGUCACCUACAUUGGGUAGACUUUGAGUGAUACAGCUGCCUUUGGAUCAUUUCUGCUUUUCCUGAGAAUUCUCUGCUAAUAUCACAGACUUUGUGUAAAUCCCAGAGAAUGAGGGUGCCCUGGUGCAUGCCAUGCUACAGUGGGACCUGUGUCUGCUUCUAUUGUCUGUAGCCAAGAUUUCUUCCAGUUCUACAGUAGAGAUACAGAGGCAAGGUCUCAUGCUGACCUAACGCUGACCUCUGUUCAGGCUGUCAUGACUGCAAGAGCAGAAGACUGCCUAUGCAUCCCAGAGUUGGCUCUGUGUGCCCUUUGGCCUCCAGAACUUCUUCAGAAUAUGAUUGAAGGUACUCAGAAUGAAUGGGAAAUUAUCCCAUGGAACUGGAAUUCAAACACAGGUGCCCACAGAGCCCUCAAGAACAAACAACACUAUAUUCAG
rnacentral:sRNA from 1 species